rnacentral:tRNA from 1 species
GCGAAGGUGGCGGAAUUGGUAGACGCGCUAGCUUCAGGUGUUAGUGUCCUUACGGACGUGGGGCUUCAAGUCCCCCCCCCUCGCACCA